rnacentral:rRNA from 1 species
CAUGCAGGCGGCCUGUUAAGUCAGAUGUGAAAGCCCGGGGCUCAACCUACGGAACUGCAUUUUGAAACUGGCAGACUAGAGUACUGUAGAGGGGGUAGAAUUUCAGGUGUAGCGGUGAAAUGCGUAGAGAUCUGAAGGAAUACCGGUGGCGAAGGCGGCCCCCUGGACAGAUACUGACACUCAGAUGCGAAAGCGUGGGGAGCAAACAGGAUUAGAUACCCUGGUAG